AAAUGACCGAUUUCUUUUGAAGGCUGUACCCUGGAGGAAUCCAAAGGAUUCAUCAGACAAACAAAUUCCAAAGUGCCACCACCAGUUUUUUUCCUUAAGAAAUACAUCAAGCAUCUGAUUCACGGCUGAUCAAUUCAAGCAUCUGAUUCACUGCUGAUCAAUUCUCUGCGGGGAGUGCUCCCUCUGCUGGGAACUAAGCGAACUGCGGUUUGUCCUUCCCAUGGAAUACUACUCAGCAGUAAAAAGGAACUACCCACACACGCAGCAACACCACUGAAUCUCAGAAAGAAAACACUAAAUGAUGAAAGCCAAUCUCAGGACACAUACUUCAUGAGUCCAUUUCUGUGAUAUUCUGGAAAAGCAGAGGCCUGAGCUCGCCUGGAUGCCAUUUGGGGAUAUGACCAGCAGGGGGCGCCCCAGGACAGCCGACUUCUUUGGACGGGUCCACAAGGAUCACCCAGAAAUCCUGUCCUUCACACACUCAAGAGGAGUGUCCCUGCUCUUCCUCUUUUCCCAAAGCCCAGAUGGUCAGAUGUCUUCUGUAAAUCAUGUUCAGAAGAGCCCUUAUGCACGUGACACUCUUCACCAGGCCCACCAGCCCUCUGGAACAAGUCCUGCUCACCAGGAGAAGCUUUUCCAAGACGACUGGACAGUCUCAUUAACCAAGCAGGCAAGGCUGGGGCUGACUGGCACGGAGAGCCCACGGCGGCAGCUGGCUGCUAUUCCCAGCACUGGCCCAGGGCCGAGGCCAUCAGCCCGGGGGGCUCCACGAGGGAGACAUGAACAAAGACGCAGGUGGAGAAUUCCGGGGAUCGCACAAGCAGAUGCCAUGAUGAUCGGAACAACGCUUGCAUUCGUACAGCAUCCUACAGUUUACCAAGGCCCUUUCCUUGCCAGGAAUCUGAUUCAGUGAAUAGUCUCCCCCCACCUGUGAGCGGCUGCCUUGGAUUCCACUGUGAAACUCAACUUGCUCCAGCUGUUACUGCUCCCCUCCUGCCCCUUCCCAGAGGCAGCGCUUUCCAUGCCCCGGAACAGAACAUCGGGGAGGAGAAGCUGAAGCAGCAGCUGGUGUCUCCCUAGCCGGUCACUUUCCAUCGGGGCUAUAGGCAGGUUUGAUGAGGAGCCGGGGGGGGGGGGGGGGGGGGGGGGGGGGGGGGUUUGAGGGCCUCCCUCUGGGGGAAGAGGGUCAGGACAGGGGUUCUGGGAUGCCACAGAGGAAGCUGGCUCUUCUACCCCAGGGAGGAUGACAGAGACGGAAACAUCUCUCAAAGGCCAGCUGUUCCCAGGUAUGUGUGGGAUGUUUCACCAAGUUUCAUGUGAAGCUCCCAACAACCAGUCCCAGGUAGAUACGGAUGAAUAGCCCCAUUUUACAGAGGCAGAAACUGAGUCCCAGAGAGGCCAGGGAGCAUGUCCCCACCAGAGGCUGGGAGGUGGCCACACCAGUAUUUAGAUCUGCUCUGUCUGAGGUGGGGGUGGGUCUUGGAAACAUGAAUGGGCAUGUGAGAUGAGAACGGAAGGGCAGUGGACCACGAAGGCCCCAAUGUGGAAGGUGCAGCUUAAGCCAUGAGUUAAUGGUGGAAGACUGGGUUAGGCCUCACACCCCAGCAUCAUGUUCUCUGGACUUCUCCAGUCUGGGCUCCGAGGGGCCUCUAGUCCAGGGCAGGAGAGGUCCUUCCCUGGGCACGGUCUCCAGGAAGCUUGGGGGGCCCCAAGGGAGGUGGGAGGGGUGGGGGCAAGAACAGUAGAGGGGGUUGACUUCUUUCCAGUCCAACCAAAACUGGAAAGGUCUCCCCCUCCUCCUACCUCCUGUCCCCAGAGAUGUGAGGGUACAUACAGGUAGAGGGACUGGUGGGCGGGAAUGCUGUAGUGGGAAAUUCCUCCUGGGUAGAAGUCAUAUUAAAAGGAUUCUGGUCUUCUAGAACAUUCUCAGCCUUGCUCUUGCUAGAAUAGAGGAUGCCUGCCUAAGGGGGAAGGGGUCCUCUGGGAGUCCUGGACCGAUCCAGCUCAGAACUAUUUCCACCCUGGCGGCCUGCAGCCUCUUCCACAUCUCCUCAGGCUGGCUGGCCCCCCACAACCACAUGCCCCUGGGUCAGUCUUCCCCUGGCUCCUUUCACCCUGGGAGACUCUCACAUCCAACGCUUCUCUCUCUCUCCUCCCUCCUCUGCUUCCUCUUCUCUUCAUCCUACCUGCAGGAUUUUCCUCCCAGUGGCCUAGGCUAGACGUUGGGAUCAUCCUGGAAGAUUCUGUCCUUCCCAUUCACAUCCAGUGGGUCAGAUCUGUGGCUCCUUCAGGUCCCAGUAUUUCUCCCCACUCCCACCACGGCUCAGCCCCACACCUGGGCCCAGAUACUCACCCUAGCUGCCCAUUGGUCUCUCUGCUUCUUCCCUGUCCCCUGCAGUCUCUUCUCAGAUUAGUGUCAAGAACAAGCCGGAUCAAAUCCACAUCAGAUCACCGUCCCCCCUGGGCUCAGAACCCUGAGGGGCUCCCAGCUCAUUCAAGCAAAAACCAAAAUCCUUCCCAUGGCCCCUGGGCCCCACAUGACACGGUCCUAUCCCCUCACUGGUUCCCCCUUGCCUGCCCCUUGCUCACUCUGCUCUCAUGUCCCUGGCCUCCCAUUCGUUCCUGGUGCUCUCCAGGCACAUGUCCCCCCCCUUUAGGUCUUCACCCUGGCUCUGCCUGGAACGCCC
ensembl:lincRNA